AGAAAGUGUUAGGUUUGUAACGAC
rnacentral:siRNA from 1 species